rnacentral:rRNA from 1 species
CAGCAGCCGCGGUAAUACGUAGGUCCCGAGCGUUGUCCGGAUUUAUUGGGCGUAAAGCGAGCGCAGGCGGUUAGAUAAGUCUGAAGUUAAAGGCUGUGGCUUAACCAUAGUACGCUUUGGAAACUGUUUAACUUGAGUGCAAGAGGGGAGAGUGGAAUUCCAUGUGUAGCGGUGAAAUGCGUAGAUAUAUGGAGGAACACCGGUGGCGAAAGCGGCUCUCUGGCUUGUAACUGACGCUGAGGCUCGAAAGCGUGGGGAGCAAACAGGAUUAGAUACCCCCGUAGUCCCUGUCUCUUAUACC